rnacentral:rRNA from 1 species
AGAGUUUGAUCAUGGCUCAGAGCGAACGCUGGCGGCAGGCCUAACACAUGCAAGUCGAGCGCACCUUCGGGUGAGCGGCGGACGGGUGAGUAACGCGUGGGAACGUGCCCUAUGGUACGGAACAACUGAGGGAAACUUCAGCUAAUACCGUAUAAGCCCUACGGGGGAAAGAUUUAUCGCCAUUGGAGCGGCCCGCGUUGGAUUAGCUAGUUGGUGGGGUAAUGGCCCACCAAGGCGACGAUCCAUAGCUGGUCUGAGAGGAUGAUCAGCCACACUGGGACUGAGACACGGCCCAGACUCCUACGGGAGGCAGCAGUGGGGAAUCUUGCGCAAUGGGCGAAAGCCUGACGCAGCCAUGCCGCGUGAAUGAUGAAGGUCUUAGGAUUGUAAAAUUCUUUCACCGGGGACGAUAAUGACGGUACCCGGAGAAGAAGCCCCGGCUAACUUCGUGCCAGCAGCCGCGGUAAUUC